rnacentral:rRNA from 1 species
UACGGAGGGUGCAAGCGUUAUCCGGAUUCACUGGGUUAAAGGGUGCGUAGGUGGGUCUGUAAGUCAGUGGUGAAAUCUCCGAGCUUAACUUGGAAACUGCCAUUGAUACUAUAGAUCUUGAAUUAUUGUGGAGGUCAGCGGAAUAUGUCAUGUAGCGGUGAAAUGCUUAGAUAAUUGACAUAGAACACCAAUUGCGAAGGCAGCUCGC